rnacentral:rRNA from 1 species
UGAGGAAUAUUGGUCAAUGGGCGCGAGCCUGAACCAGCCAAGUCGCGUGAGGGAAGACGGUUCUAUGGAUUGUAAACCUCUUUUGCCGGGGAGCAACAAGGCCUUGCGAGGUCUAAAGUGAGAGUACCCGGAGAAAAUGCAUCGGCUAACUCCGUGCCAGCAGCCGCGGUAAUACGGAGGAUGCGAGCGUUAUCCGGAUUUGAUUGGGUUUAAAGGGUGCGUAGGCGGACAGGCAAGUCAGCGGUAAAAGUAUGGAGGCUCAACCUCUAUCGGCCGUUGAAAGCUGUCUGACUAGAGUGAGCGAGAAGUAUGCGGAAUGCGAGGUGUAGCGGUGAAAUGCAUAGAUAUCACGCAGAACUCCGAUUGCGAAGGCAGCAUACCGGCGCUCAACUGACGCUGAGGCACGAAAGCGUGGGGGAUCGAACAGGAUUAGAUACC